rnacentral:rRNA from 1 species
AGAGUUUGAUCAUGGCUCAGAUUGAACGCUGGCGGAAUGCUUUACACAUGCAAGUCGAACGGCAGCAUAGGUGCUUGCACCUGAUGGCGAGUGGCGAACGGGUGAGUAAUACAUCGGAACGUGCCCAGUCGUGGGGGAUAACGUAGCGAAAGUUACGCUAAUACCGCAUACGAUCUACGGAUGAAAGCGGGGGACCGUAAGGCCUCGCGCGAUUGGAGCGGCCGAUGUUAGAUUAGGUAGUUGGUGGGGUAAAGGCUCACCAAGCCGACGAUCUAUAGCUGGUCUGAGAGGAUGAUCAGCCACACUGGGACUGAGACACGGCCCAGACUCCUACGGGAGGCAGCAGUGGGGAAUUUUGGACAAUGGGCGCAAGCCUGAUCCAGCCAUUCCGCGUGCAGGACGAAGGCCUUCGGGUUGUAAACUGCUUUUGUACAGAACGAAAAGCUCUGAGUUAAUACCUCGGGGUCAUGACGGUACUGUAAGAAUAAGCACCGGCUAACUAUGAAAGGGCAGCCGCGGUAAU